rnacentral:piRNA from 1 species
GCACUGCCAUGACGCUCGGUGCCCUUUUCA